GUGCCAGCAGCCGCGGUAAUACGUAAGGACCGAGCGUUGUCCGGAAUCAUUGGGCGUAAAGGGUACGUAGGCGGCUAGAAAGGUUAGAAGUCAAAGGCUAUAGCUCAACUAUAGUAAGCUUCUAAAACUAUUUAGCUUGAGAAAUGGAAGGGAAAGUGGAAUUCCUAGUGUAGCGGUGGAAUGCGCAGAUAUUAGGAAGAAUACCGGUGGCGAAGGCGACUUUUGGCCAUUAUCUGACGCUGAGUACGAAAGUGUG
rnacentral:rRNA from 1 species